UACGUAGGGUGCAGGCGUUAAUCGGAAUUACUGGGCGUAAAGCGUGCGCAGGCGGUUUGCUAAGAGAGGUGUGAAAUCCCCGGGCUCAACCCGGGAACUGCGUCCGAUACUGGCAGGCUUGAAUCCGGGAGAGGGAUGCGGAAUUCCAGGUGUAGCGGUGAAAUGCGUAGAUAUCUGGAGGAACACCGGUGGCGAAGGCGGCAUCCUGGACCGGCAUUGACGCUGAGGCGCGAAAGCCAGGGGAGCAAACGGG
rnacentral:rRNA from 1 species